rnacentral:lncRNA from 1 species
CCCUGCGAGACGCCUCGCCAGGUGCCGGGGACGUCUCCAGACGUGCCAAUUCUGCCUGUUCGUGCCAGAGACGUCUCUGAGACAACCCGGAGAUGUCUCGGCUGUCCCUGAUCUGUUUUCUUCAUCUCAAAAAUUCUUCAAUAAAUCCUUGAAAAAUAUGUAAACUUGCCUAGACAUUUCUUAACAAUAUUCUUAAUUAAGCACAUGAAAUCCUCAAUUAAAUUGUUAAGAUAAAGGGAAUUAUACUCUAGUGUUUUGUAUUCAUCAAAAUCCAUUAGGGGGUCAACACUUAUGUGGACCGAAGAAGAAAUACAGGAAACGAGUCAAUUAAUUCAGGAGGGCAUCUAAGUAAAUUCCCAAUUCAAAUUGACUUUUCUUAAAUGGGUUAAUUCAAAUGGGCUGAAUUAAAAUGGGCUUGGGUCCAUUAUUGGUUAUAAACCAAAUUGAAGACCAAUUUGAAAGAUUUUGGAUCCGAAAAAAUUUCACAUGAAUCUGAUUCAUGU